rnacentral:rRNA from 1 species
UACGAAGGGGGCGAGCGUUGUUCGGAAUCACUGGGCGUAAAGGGCGCGUAGGCGGCCCUCUUAGUCGCGUGUGAAAGCCCCGGGCUCAACCUGGGAACGGCGCGCGAAACGGGAGGGCUGGAGUUCGGGAGAGGAGAGUGGAAUUCCCAGUGUAGAGGUGAAAUUCGUAGAUAUUGGGAAGAACCCCGGUGGCGAAGGCGGCUCUCUGGACCGAGACUGACGCUGAGGCGCGAAAGCGUGGGGAGCAAACAGG